UUCCGGUUGAUCCCGCCGGACCUGACUGCUAUCGGAUUGAUACUARGCCAUGCGAGUCAUUGUAGCAAUACAAGGCAUACGGCUCAGUAACGCGUAGUCAACCUACCCUAUGGACGGAAAUAACCUCGGGAAACUGAGAAUAAUAUCCGAUAGAACAUUAUGCCUGGAAUGGUUUAUGUUCCAAAUGAUUUAUCGCCGUAGGAUGGGACUGCGGCCUAUCAGUUUGUUGGUGAGGUAAUGGCCCACCAAGACUAUUACAGGUACGGGCUCUGAGAGGAGUAGCCCGGAGAUGUGUACUGAGACACGGACCCAGGCCCUAUGGGGCGCAGCAGGCGAGAAAACUUUGCAAUGUGCGAAAGCACGACAAGGUUAAUCCGAGUGAUUUCUGCUAAAGAAAUCUUUUGUUAGUCCUAGAAACACUAACGAAUAAGGGGUGGGCAAGUUCUGGUGUCAGCCGCCGCGGUAAAACCAGCACCUCAAGUGGUCAGGAUGAUUAUUGGGCCUAAAGCAUCCGUAGCCGGCUCUGUAAGUCCUCGGUUAAAUCUGUACGCUUAACGUACAGGCUGCCGGGAAUACUGCAUAGCUAGGGAGUGGGAGAGGUAGACGGUACUCGGUAGGAAGGGGUAAAAUCCUUUGAUCUAUUGAUGACCACCUGUGGCGAAGGCGGUCUACCAGAACACGUCCGACGGUGAGGGAUGAAAGCUGGGGGAGCAAACCGGAUUAGAUACCCGGGUAGUCCCAGCUGUAAACUAUGCAAACYCAGUGAUGCAUUGGCUUGUGGCCAAUGCAGUGCUGCAGGGAAGCCGUUAAGUUUGCCGCCUGGGAAGUACGUACGCAAGUAUGAAACUUAAAGGAAUUGGCGGGGGAGCACCACAAGGGGUGAAGCCUGCGGUUCAAUUGGAGUCAACGCCGG
rnacentral:rRNA from 2 species